CAUUAUUUCAUUUUAAAGCAAGAAAUGAAUCACCAUUAGAGUAAAAGUUACUUCAAAAUGAAGCAAAAAGUGAAAAAUGAAGCAUUAUUGGAGAUGGUCUAAGUAUCUGCACGGAAAAAAAAUUUUGUGCCAUCUUCUCUAAUCCUUCCUACUAGCCACCGCUUAACCUUUUUCGAUAUCUCUCUCCGGGGGUCAGUGUUUCUCACCGCCACCGUGGGAGAGAACCUCUAUGUUUGCUUUACUGUUCAACCAUCACUCUGCUAGAUAUUUUAUGCGAGUUUCGGCCUGAGCCGUGGUCAUGCAGUCUCUGGGGGUUGCGCCAGGCUUGUCUUCUGGUUUCUGGUUUUCGUCAGGUCUUGGUUCUAUCCUGGCUCUCCUCGUUUGAGGAAAACGAGUAGAAUAGUGAUGUGUCAAUUAGUUCUGUAGCUCCGUCUUUUAGAUUCUCUGGUGAGUUUCAUCCAUGUUUGGUCUGUAGCAGUGUGGUUUUCUUUUUCAAUUAGUUCUGUCGGUUUCUUUCUGUCUGGAGUAUAGAUAUCGAGGGCGUCUCAAUUCCGAUUUGCUGCGGCUGCUGUCAGAAACUGUUCCACUUCUCUGUUAUCAAAGUCUAUUUGGAUUGGUGAUGGUUGUGGCCUGUUUUGUUUUCGUCGCUAGUGUUUCUUUUCGUCUGUGCCUGAGGUUUUUAAAGUUGGUUAUCCACUUUUGGAUUAACUGGUCUCUGUUGGUGGGAGGAUGUUCUUCAGAAGUGAUGUGGUUCUUGUUGAUCUCGGCCCAGAAGGCCCAGACUAAUCCCCAAGGGGAAGGAAUGCCCACGGAUAGACGCCCCUCCCAGUUUUUCAAAUGGGCCGAAAGCAUGGCCCAUAUCCGUGUGGGUGACAAGAGCGUUGCAAGGUAGUUCCCUCCGGCGUGGAUCGAACCCCCUACCUGGAUGCAGGCGGGGACCCGUCCUAACCAUUGGGCUACAACGUCUUGUCAAUUUUCUCAUGUCUUUUUACAUGAUUACUUUGUGCUACAUUUAUCAUAUUAUUUGAAUUUAUGCAACCUUUACAACGUGUAUCUAACUGAUUAUGCAAACAUUUUUUCUCUUU